rnacentral:rRNA from 1 species
CACGUAGGGUGCGAGCGUUGUCCGGAAUUAUUGGGCGUAAAGAGCUCGUAGGCGGUGUGUCGCGUCGGCCGUGAAAACCUGCAGCUUAACUGUGGGCUUGCGGUCGAUACGGGCACCACUGGAGUUCGGCAGGGGAGACUGGAAUUCCUGGUGUAGCGGUGAAAUGCGCAGAUAUCAGGAGGAACACCAGUGGCGAAGGCGGGUCUCUGGGCCGAUACUGACGCUGAGGAGCGAAAGCGUGGGGAGCGAACAGG